CGUGCCUCAUGGCGAGGUAAUCCAGGGAAGCAUUCCUUCAACUGGUCCCACGUCACUGUAUGUAGAGGAACUGGUGGAUAUAGGAAACGAAGUUCAAGUGGGAAGAAUGAAGUGGGACAGGGUUCUUGCACAGAAGGAGGACAGCAUGUUCCUCAAAG